GUCCCAUGCUGACCCUUUGGCUUUAUGCCUAACAGAGGAGAAAUUGAACUGGGAUUAGGUGGUAACAAGUAGAAACUGGGUAUCGAAAUUCAGGAUGUUUUGUGUGCAACUUCCUUUCCCUCCCUCCUACACAGGGCAACUGGGAGCAGAAAAACUUCACGGAGGAGCCAGCCAUGCCAUGGGGCUGUUCCUUGGGGGCUGUGGCCUAAUUCUGUGCCUCUUCAUUGGGGUCUAUUGUGCCUACAGACGAGGAUCCAAGAAGGAACCAUUUUCCCACCACCGCCUGUAUCAAGAUGGAUUUGAUGACCCUGCUCUCUUUCUAGACAAUCCAAAGGAUUACGACUGGUUUUUCUAUGAGACUGAUGGCUAUGUUUACCCAACGUCCUCUCAAACUCAACCUAAGCUGAUCCAGACCCUUUCAGUCCCGGCUCUUAAACAACCUUCCCCUGCUCUUGAAAAGUCACCAACAAAACAUGCAAACCCUGAAGUACAAGAUGUCAAGCAGAACCAACCAAAUGUUGUAAAGCUUGUGUCUCUUUCCCCGGAUAACCUGCACCCUGAAAAUGUCAUCUGAGACAUCUGAUCCCUGAAAUUUGGGCAACAUAGAAAUCCCUUUCCCCAUAUAAGAAUAGAAUCGCUAGGUUGGGAUCUGUAGAAGGUAGGAUCAGAUCUACUAAUAGAUUUUGGAGUGAUUUGCUACAAAUUAAAAACCCAAGCAAGAUAUUCAGUGAUGAGGAAUGCUGGGAGUUAUGGUCUGGCAAUAUCUUCCCCUAUCUUGUAAUAGCAAUUUGCGGCAUUCAGUAUCAAUACAGGUAUACCCAGGUUAAUGAAGCCUCAGACAAUGAAGCUGUCUUUAACAAAUAUAUAUUUUUAUAACCAUAUAGCUCUGCCUCCACUGUCUAAUUGGAUGUUUUUAGCAGCAUUGGCAUGUAGAGAAUAAUUAAGGAGAACUGGAGCAACACAAACCUUUGGUGAACAUUCAGCGAAGCUUGGACUGGGAAAGAAUGGGAUCCUACUCUAGCCGAUCCCGCUUUAGU
rnacentral:lncRNA from 11 species